rnacentral:rRNA from 1 species
AGAGUUUGAUCAUGGCUCAGAUUGAACGCUGGCGGCAGGCCUAACACAUGCAAGUCGAACGGUAACAGGAAACAGCUUGCUGCUUCGCUGACGAGUGGCGGACGGGGGAGUAAUGUCUGGGAAACUGCCUGAUGGAGGGGGAUAACUACUGGAAACGGUAGCUAAUACCGCAUAACGUCGCAAGACCAAAGAGGGGGACCUUCGGGCCUCUUGCCAUCGGAUGUGCCCAGAUGGGAUUAGCUAGUAGGUGGGGUAACGGCUCACCUAGGCGACGAUCCCUAGCUGGUCUGAGAGGAUGACCAGCCACACUGGAACUGAGACACGGUCCAGACUCCUACGGGAGGCAGCAGUGGGGAAUAUUGCACAAUGGGCGCAAGCCUGAUGCAGCCAUGCCGCGUGUAUGAAGAAGGCCUUCGGGUUGUAAAGUACUUUCAGCGGGGAGGAAGGGAGUAAAGUUAAUACCUUUGCUCAUUGACGUUACCCGCAGAAGAAGCACCGGCUAACUCCGUGCCAGCAGCCGCGGUAAUACGGAGGGUGCAAGCGUUAAUCGGAAUUACUGGGCGUAAAGCGCACGCAGGCGGUUUGUUAAGUCAGAUGUGAAAUCCCCGGGCUCAACCUGGGAACUGCAUCUGAUACUGGCAAGCUUGAGUCUCGUAGAGGGGGGUAGAAUUCCAGGUGUAGCGGUGAAAUGCGUAGAGAUCUGGAGGAAUACCGGUGGCGAAGGCGGCCCCCUGGACGAAGACUGACGCUCAGGUGCGAAAGCGUGGGGAGCAAACAGGAUUAGAUACCCUGGUAGUCCACGCCGUAAACGAUGUCGACUUGGAGGUUGUGCCCUUGAGGCGUGGCUUCCGGAGCUAACGCGUUAAGUCGACCGCCUGGGGAGUACGGCCGCAAGGUUAAAACUCAAAUGAAUUGACGGGGGCCCGCACAAGCGGUGGAGCAUGUGGUUUAAUUCGAUGCAACGCGAAGAACCUUACCUGGUCUUGACAUCCACGGAAGUUUUCAGAGAUGAGAAUGUGCCUUCGGGAACCGUGAGACAGGUGCUGCAUGGCUGUCGUCAGCUCGUGUUGUGAAAUGUUGGGUUAAGUCCCGCAACGAGCGCAACCCUUAUCCUUUGUUGCCAGCGGUCCGGCCGGGAACUCAAAGGAGACUGCCAGUGAUAAACUGGAGGAAGGUGGGGAUGACGUCAAGUCAUCAUGGCCCUUACGACCAGGGCUACACACGUGCUACAAUGGCGCAUACAAAGAGAAGCGACCUCGCGAGAGCAAGCGGACCUCAUAAAGUGCGUCGUAGUCCGGAUUGGAGUCUGCAACUCGACUCCAUGAAGUCGGAAUCGCUAGUAAUCGUGGAUCAGAAUGCCACGGUGAAUACGUUCCCGGGCCUUGUACACACCGCCCGUCACACCAUGGGAGUGGGUUGCAAAAGAAGUAGGUAGCUUAACCUUCGGGAGGGCGCUUACCACUUUGUGAUUCAUGACUGGGGUGAAGUCGUAACAAGGUAACCGUAGGGGAACCUGCGGUUGGAUCACCU